GACGAACGCUGGCGGCGUGCUUAACACAUGCAAGUCGAACGGUAAGGCCCUUCUGGGGGUAGAUGCGCGGGGAACGGGCGGGUAACAAGCGGGUGAUUAGCCUUGCAUUUAGGGUUAAGUCAGUGCAACAGGGUGUAAUAACGGCUAGGACUAAGCGACGCAUGCAGUGUGGUGGUAAGAUUUUGCGGUGGGGGAUGGGCCCGCGGCCUAUCAGCUUGUUGGUGGGGUGGUGGCCUACCAAGGCGGCGACGGGUAGCCGGCCUGAGAGGGUGACCGGCCACACUGGGACUGAGAUACGGCCCAGACUCCUACGGGAGGCAGCAGUGGGGAAUAUUGCACAAUGGGCGCAAGCCUGAUGCAGCAACGCCGCGUGGGGGAUGACGGCCUUCGGGUUGUAAACCCCUUUCGGCUCAGACGAAGCGUAAGUGACGGUAUUUGCAAAAGAAGCACCGGCCAACUACGUG
rnacentral:rRNA from 1 species